rnacentral:rRNA from 1 species
CCUACGGGGGGCAGCAGUGAGGAAUAUUGGUCAAUGGCCGGAAGGCUGAACCAGUCAAGCCGCGUGAAGGACGAAGGUGCCAAGCAUUGUAAACUUCUUUUGUCAAGGGACAAAAUCAGGCUCGAGAGCCUGACCGAGGGUACUUGAAGAAAAAGCAUCGGCUAACUCCGUGCCAGCAGCCGCGGUAAUACGGAGGAUGCGAGCGUUAUCCGGAUUUAUUGGGUUUAAAGGGUGCGUAGGCGGACUGUUAAGUCAGCGGUAAAAGCCCGGGGCUCAACCCCGGCGAGCCGUUGAAACUGGGGAACUUGAGUGCAGGAGAGGAGAGUGGAAUUCCUAGUGUAGCGGUGAAAUGCGUAGAUAUUAGGAGGAACACCAGUUGCGAAGGCGGCUCUCUGGACUGUAACUGACACUGAGGCACGAAAGCGUGGGGAGCAAAUAGGAUUAGAUACCCCAGUC